AUGGAAAUCCACGAAGACGGAACAUCGAACCGGAACGUUGUUUCUCCGUUCCAUUCCGACUGAGAUUGUGAGACCCUUCAACUCCAAAAUUGGGCAAAAUGGUGAGGCUUCAGACAUAUGCGGGUCUUAGUUUGAUUGCAACUCUGGCUAUUACAUAUCAUGCAUUUAACAGUAGAGUCCAAUUUUAUCCGGCAAUGAUUUAUCUGGCAACUUCCAAGAUCAGUUUGGUACUUCUUCUCAACAUGGGUUUGGUCAUCAUGUGUGUUAUGUGGCAGAUAACUAAAAAGGUGUUCCUUGGUUCCCUUCGAGAGGCUGAGGUUGAGAGGCUUAAUGAGCAAUCGUGGAGGGAGCUUAUGGAAAUCCUCUUUGCAAUUACUAUCUUUAGACAGGAUUUCUCUAUUACAUUCCUUGCCAUGGUCACUGCACUCUUGUUAAUUAAGGCUUUGCAUUGGUUGGCUCAGAAGAGAGUUGAGUACAUCGAGACUACUCCUUCUGUGUCCAUGUUGUCUCAGGUUCGAAUCGUAUCUUUCAUCGGUUUCCUUCUUCUUCUGGAUGGCCUCUUUGUGUAUAGUUCUGCGAAGCAUUUGAUACAAUCACGGCAGGCUUCGGUUUCGCUCUUCUUUUCUUUUGAGUACAUGAUACUGGCAACAACAACAGUGUCAAUUUUUGUAAAAUAUAUCUUUUAUGUUAGUGACAUGCUUAUGGAGGGACAAUGGGAAAGGAAACCAAUCUUCACGUUUUACCUGGAACUUAUUAGGGAUUUGCUUCACUUGUCAAUGUAUCUGUGCUUCUUUAUUGUAAUUUUCAUAAACUAUGGAGUUCCUUUGCACUUAAUAAGGGAGCUGUACGAGACAUUUAGAAACUUCAAAGUUCGUGUUGCAGAUUACAUACGUUAUCGCAAGAUUACUUCAAAUAUGAAUGAUCGGUUUCCAGAUGCAACCCCUGAAGAGCUUAAUGUAAGUGAUGCAACCUGCAUUAUCUGUCGCGAAGAGAUGAUCACCGCCAAGAAACUUGUGUGCGGGCACCUUUUUCAUGUUCAUUGCCUUCGAUCAUGGCUGGAGCGGCAGCAUACUUGCCCUACCUGCAGAGCACUGGUUGUACCACCAGAAAAUGGGACAACUGCUGCUGGAAGGCGGCAAGGAUCACAGUCAGAUGCUCACCAAUAUGGCACUGGAAGCGCAGCUCAAGCUGAGAUUGGCAAUGGGGUGGCUACUGAUAAUUUGAGUCGGCAUCAAGCAAGGCUCCAAGCUGCUGCUGCAGCAGCAGCUUCAAUAUAUGAGAAAUCUUAUGUUUACCCCUCUGCAACUUCUUUUGUAUGGGAGGUGCCUUUCUUUGCCCAAAAAUGAAGAACAGGGUGCUCUUUGAUGCAUUUUAAGUGAAAGAAAACGGAAAGUGAAAGAGGGGGAAAAUAAAAAGAUGGAGCAGUUCCAUUUAGAAUGAUUGGUGAAUUUUAAAACAUGAAUUAAGUUAUAGGGUAUGUUUCUCUGUAGGGAAAUGUUUGGUUUCAUUUAAUUCUUGUUUCCAAAAUUAUGAUGUUUUCAUUCCGCUUCAAAUCUGAAAUCACAAGAAACUGGCUCUACCUUUGUCCUUUUGUUACAUAAUGAAUUAAUGAAAUGAUCCAAAAGUUGUGUACUUUUGUAAAGAUGAUACGGAUGCUAUUCCUUGAAUCUAAAACUCUAAUUUCUCAAACUCGCAGGUCCCCUGGAUACACUCUCUAUCCUCCAGUUCAAAGAUCUUUGGCCGAAUCAUCUGGUAAUGAGCUCAAUGGAGAACAAGCUUCCAUUGAGCAAGCACAAAAGCAGUUUGUUAUCCCUGAUGGACCACUGAGUGCAUCCAUUCCUCCAAUGGGGAACUUUAAUUUUCUACCUUCCCAAACACAUGUAGCCCACAUGAAUUAUGGAGAGGGAUUUAUAAAUGAUCCAAAUAUGCCAAACUCUCAGCAGGAAGCUCAAAGAAAACUCCAGAUUGAGCUUUUGCAAAAUCAGGUUCAGAUUCUGCAAAAUCAGCUCCAACUUCUGGAGAAGGCAAAUGUUGAAAAAGAUAUAGAUGAAGACACAUCAUUAUCAGAUAGCAGAGGCAAGCACAUCACUGCCCCUUCAUCAUCUAGUCAUGAGGAGAUUCAAGACACUGAAGCAUAAUCAUGACUUGGCUUAUUUCUGGCUAUACCAUGAGGAGACUACCUAAUGUAGAUAUAGGGAGAAGGUUAAUGCAAAAAUCACAGCAUUGCUUAUUUGCUUCCAUGUGACAUUAAUUUGAAUGCUGUAUUUUGUUCAAGGAUAUUAAUCUUGGGAAUGCAUUUUGCCUUUAAUAAUUUAUUUUUCCCUUUUUUAGAAAAUAAAAUAAUCAAUGAAAAUUUCAUUGGUUUUUAUUAGCUUAUGAGAAUUUAUACCCAUAUUGGUACUCUGCAAAUAGGUUAGGAUUGGCUUAGCAAUUAGUAGUUCAAUAUUUAUUCAGUGUGUCUGCUUGUUUGAAAUUUUAGGAGUCCAAAAUUGAGAUGUCUAUAUCUAUUUGCAUAAC